CCUACGGGAGGCAGCAGUGAGGAAUAUUGGUCAAUGGCCGGAAGGCUGAACCAGCCAUGCCGCGUGAAGGUCAGUGCCCUAUGGGCGUUAAACUUCUUUUGUGCGGGAGCAAUAAUGGUCACGUGUGGCCAGACGAGAGUACCGUACGAAUAAGCAUCGGCUAACUCCGUGCCAGCAGCCGCGGUAAUACGGGGGAUGCAAGCGUUAUCCGGAUUUAUUGGGUUUAAAGGGAGCGUAUGCCGCAUGUCAAGCGUGCUGUGAAAUGUCCGGGGUCAACCCCGAAACUGCCUCUCAUACUGUUGGACUAGAGAAUAGUUGCGGUAGGCGGAAUGUAUGGUGUAGCGGUGAAAUGCUUAGAGAUCAUACAGAACACCGAUUGCGAAGGCAGCUUACCAAACUAUAUCUGACGUUGAGGCACGAAAGCGUGGGUAGCAAACAGGAUUAGAUACCCCAGUAGUC
rnacentral:rRNA from 1 species